rnacentral:other from 1 species
CGGUUGCUACCUGGUGCGACAGGUCGAUUUAUCUCUGGGGCUAUAAUUGAUCCUUUGGGAGCUGCCUCUGUCGAAAUCGAGGUUUCGGUACGCGGUGCCCACCUGCAAUAGCAGGCCACAGAGGAUAUCCAGUACCAUCGGCUAACGUGGCUUCCGU